rnacentral:rRNA from 1 species
GUCUUUUUGUUUAAUAUUUAAAGUCUAGUCUGCCCUAUGAUAAAAUUGAAUGGCCGCGGUAUUUUGACCGUGCUAAGGUAGCAUAAUCAUUAGUUUUUUAAUUGAAAGCUGGAAUGAAGGGCUGAAUGAAAAAAAAACUGUCUCUAAUUAAUUAUUUUAGAAUUUUAUUUUUAAGUAAAAAAGCUUAAAUUUUAUUAAAAGACGAGAAGACCCUAUAGAGUUUAAUAAUUUUAUAAUAUAAAAAAUUUGGAAUUAAUUUUUUUAUUUUUAUAUGAUUAUUUGAUUGGGGUGAUUAAAAAAUUUAAUAAACUUUUUUAUUUAUUUAUAUUAAUUAAUAAAUAGUUGAUCCAAAAAUUUUGAUUAUAAGAUAAAAUUACCUUAGGGAUAACAGCGUAAUUUUAUUUGAGAGUUCUAAUCGAUAAUAAAGUUUGCGA